GUGUUUCCUUUCAGAAGUGAAAUUCCAAACCCUAGUCUGAAGAAUGGAUUUACAGGAAAAAAACAACGGGAGCGCGAACUAAAUCGAUAGCAAGGUCUUGAAGCAUUCAAACAGUUUUUUGGAGCUCUUGCACAUGUAAAAUGUCUAACCGUCAAGAAUCCACCCUUGCAGGUUAACAAUCUGUUGAUGAAUUCGCCAGUAUAUCACAAUAUUGAACGGUUGAGAAUAACUCGAGGUGUGAACUCUGAUGUAGCAGUAAUUGCGUUUCUCAAAGUAACUCCUAAUCUGGAGUCGCUCAUAUUUCAAAAAGGCUUAUAUUGAUAUAGUUGAUCAUGGUAGUGAAGACAAUGGUUGGACAUCACUUGAUCUGGUGGAUACUGGAUGCUUGUUUCGACGCCUUAAAUCAGUUUGCUUAAGCCAUGUUUUGGGGGCGCAAGGGAGAUUAGCUGUGUGAAAGUAAUUUUGAAGAAUGCAAAAGUUUUGGAAUCGUUGACUAUCUAUCAUUAUAAUUUAAGACGCAUUUCAAAUUUGACAGAACAAGAACUUAUGCUGCAGAUAAAUAGUUUUCCAAGAGCCUCGCCAAGUUGCACAUUUAAAUUAUUCCCUUUUGGAAAUCAAGUUUAAGACUUCACAAACGCAGCAGGGAAGGAAUUCUGAAAUUCCAGAAUCAGUAAGGUAAUUACAUCCCUUGUUAUGCUGCUACAGAAACUUUAGGAAUGUGAAGGCAUU